CCAAGAAGGAAAAAAAAAAAGAGAAAUGUAAACAUAAAAUAUACCUUCCGAAUGAAGUGGGGUCCACCCUCACUGUGAAGCUUAUCCGCCUCAUAGAUCGUUGCAUGUAAAGUCCCGUGCAGCAAUAUCUGUGCCAUCUCUCACCUGUAGCCAAAACACAAACGGUGAAAUGGUGAAUUAAAUGUAUAUAUUGCAAACACUCGUGCCUGUGGCUUGUAUUUGAGCCUGUUAAAAUGACUGCCUAUGCAGAAGAGAUCAACGAGAACAUCAUUCUGUUUCUUUGCUGGUUCUCGGCAAGCAAUCCAAUCACCACA
rnacentral:misc_RNA from 1 species